UGGGGAAUUGUUCGCAAUGGGCGCAAGCCUGACGACGCAACGCCGCGUGGAGGAUGAAGGUCUUCGGAUUGUAAACUCCUGUUGCCCGGGACAAAUGGCUCCGACCUAACACGUCGGAGUGUGACGGUACCCGUAGAAUAAGCCCCGGCUGACUUCGUGCCAGCAGCCGCGGUAAUACGAAGGGGGCUAGCGUUGCUCGGAAUUACUGGGCGUAAAGCGCACGUAGGCGGCUCUUUAAGUCGGGGGUGAAAUCCUGGAGCUCAACUCCAGAACUGCCUUCGAUACUGUAGAGCUUGAGUUCGGGAGAGGUGAGUGGAACUGCGAGUGUAGAGGUGAAAUUCGUAGAUAUUCGCAAGAACACCAGUGGCGAAGGCGGCUCACUGGCCCGAUACUGACGCUGAGGUGCGAAAGCGUGGGGAGCAAAC
rnacentral:rRNA from 1 species